UCCUUUAAUUAUGCGUCUAGAAACCGAUGCCGGCGACGUAAUAAUGGGGAAAAGCUUGGUAGUCUUCCUCGCGUAAUCGUCCCUUUCCAUCUGCCUACCCUAAUCAGCUUCAGGAUUCAGCAUAUAUGCUGCUUGCAACAGGUUCUUUCAGGGCUGCUCGCUGGUUUGGAUUUCUCUGUUGGUGAGGGCACGGGAUAUGCUUCCUUCACCUCGCAGGCCAGCUUCUCCCUUCCCAGGAACACGCCAGCCUCCAUGGAAAAGAUUGACAAGGACGUCGAGGUCAGGGGUCGAGUCUCAGAGUCCGUGAAAGACCAGUUCCGGUAGAUCUCAUCAGCGACGGCCCGCGAACAGAACGCACUGGGUAGAAAUUUGGCGUAGCAAUUUUGGUCGCUGGGGUGGUCGCCGUGCCACCACUUGAACUGGCAUGUCAACAAAAGCAGCAACGAUGAGAAGCGUCGAGCUUACAAGGAAAUAUUCAGAUUCCCUGGAACAAAUCUGGUUGCCUCUUGAUAAUACUAAUAAGGCUGAGCAUGUUGCAUCCAUUGAGCUAGAACUUUGUCAACAAAAAAGACAAAACAUGUUGUAUACCAUUACGUGAUGUAUUUGGUUUGGAUCAGUAGCUUUGCCAAAUGCUAACUGGCGUUGAUCAUAGCUCAUGUUUUACUCAAGAUCCUAUUACCAGACCCUGAAGUAUGUGUUUUUUUAUAUCCAAUUAAAGGAUUAGCUUUGCCGAAAUAUAUUGAUUAUAGCUUUCAACAUAUUGCAAAAGUUAUUUUCUUGAUGUAAGUCAUCUCUCUGAUAAUGUUAGCCCUUCGAGGCUAUCUGAAGUUCUCUAUCUUUCUCUAUAGAUUUCAUAUCCUGUAUUUUGUAUCUAAGCUGCAUAUAUCCAGGAACGAAGUUGACACUGAUGAGAUUUUAACUUCAGUGCAAGAGUUUGAUGCCUUGGUCCUCCAAGAGAACCUUCGUGGAGUCAUCUACAUAUACCGCGUGAGCCUUCUCAGAGGCAUCUACUUGUUCCUUCCUACUAUUUCACAUUGUAUAUCUCAGGCAUUUUAUAGAAAUACAAAUACUUUUAUUAACCAAUUUUUGUAGGAGAAGGAUGUACUAUGAUGGAUUUAGCAAAGAGACUCUGGAGUGAAAGCGGUGAAGAAAUUUCUAAAGCUGUCAAGCAGAAACGUGCUUUCACAUAAUGUGAAAUCGGCUAACUUGGUAAUAUACUAAUGAUACAACCAAGCAAAUAUCUUUCACAGUCCCCAUUUCAAUUGGUUGUUUUUAUGUAAUACAGUAUGAGUUUACUGAAGUGUGUAUGGAGCUGUUGGUUCAGUAAGUUAUCUUUAGCUCUUUUUCGUGAGCUAAUUGUUACCUUUUUUCCUUUUGUCUAUUAAUGAAUUGACAUGUCUCAUCAAAUUAGAAAAUACAAGCUGUGAAGGAUUUCAUUCUCCUUGCAAUUUUCAGGUGAUGGAACUGUUUGUUCUGUUUCCCACUCUCAAGAGAAAAUACAUAUUAUUUGUCUCAUUACACAGGAAAAAAAAUUGAGGCAUUGACUAAGAAAAAAAGGUCCAACCUUUAAUAUGAGGUCAGGUGUACAAUGCCCUCGGGUAAGCAACAGACUUCACAAGGUAAUCAAGCAAACAAAGAAGGCAAUGGAGCUCCAAGCAGUCUAUGGGACUUGAACAACAUAGGCUGUGUAAGAAUUAACCACUGGAACAUCAAAGGAGGCACUGAUCUUUCACUGAAUGACAGACUUUUUCUGUGCCAUCUAAAUUUGCAAGUGGGCGUGUACAAUCUGGAGCCGUGAAAUAAGAAAAUGUGAUAGGUGCGCUGAUUUUGUGCAUUAUUGUGGUAUCCUCAAUUUUGAACAGUGGUAUUGUGUACACGUAUCAAGCAUCACUGUGGUUCGUUUGAACUGACAUUUGCAAAGUAUUUACCAAUUAGAACAAUAUGUAAUUGUUUUACCAAAUCUGCAUAACUCAUCUAAGCAGGCUUAAAAUUUCA